UCCCUGGAGGAUUAGUGGCUAGGCCUCGGCGCUCUCACCAGUACGCCUCAGGUUCGAUUCCCGGCCAGGGAA